rnacentral:rRNA from 1 species
UACGGGGGGGGCAAGCGUUGUUCGGAAUUACUGGGCGUAAAGGGCUCGUAGGCGGCCAACUAAGUCAGACGUGAAAUCCCCAGGCUCAACCUGGGAACUGCGUCUGAUACUGGAUGGCUUGAAUCCGGGAGAGGGAUGCAGAAUUCCAGGUGUAGCGGUGAAAUGCGUAGAUAUCUGGAGGAAUACCGGUGGCGAAGGCAGCCCCCUGGGCUAACACUGACGCUCAUGCACGAAAGCGUGGGGAGCAAACAGG